AAAGCGCAUGCAGGCGGAUCGCUAAGUCAGGGGUGAAAGCCCGAGGCUCAACCUCGGAACUGCCUUUGAUACUGGCGAUCUUGAGUCCGGGAGAGGUGAGUGGAACUCCGAGUGUAGAGGUGAAAUUCGUAGAUAUUCGGAAGAACACCAGUGGCGAAGGCGGCUCACUGGCCCGGUACUGACGCUGAGAUGCGAAAGCGUGGGGAGCAAACAGGAUUAGAUACCCUGGU
rnacentral:rRNA from 1 species